GACAUGUUUAGGGCUCAUCAUGUUUAUAGGAGUAGAGGAACUGGUGGGAGACACCGGGAGGAGUUUAAUGGAGGAGGGCCUAAUCUGCUACUGCUUCUACAGAUACUGCCUUUCUUGUUGAUUUUUGUGCUUGCUUAUCUGCCCUUUUCAGAGCCAGAUUAUUCUUUGCAUAAGAAUUAUUCCUAUCAAAUCCCCAAGACAACUGAGAAACUUGGAGUGGAGUUUUUCGUCAAAUCAGUGGCUUUUGAUGACAAUUUUCCUAUUGGAAGUCCUGCAAGAGCCAACAUUGAGGACAAUGUAAUUAAGGACUAUAGAAACUUGCUUUGGCGUUAUUGUCACAUAGAACUCCAGAGACGUCACUGGAGUAAGAAUAUGCCCACUCCUAACUGUGAUAAACUUCGGAAUCUGGGGUUAGCAUAAAGGGAAUGUACUGGAGAUGGGAAAGCUUGUACAUGGAAGUUUGUUGAUGGGCCUAGCCAGGAGGUCUCAGUUUGUCUACAAGCCAGAGGGUGUGAUUCGAGUCCCAUAGAUGUGAUGCGCAUUUUCCGCCUUCAUUAAAGGGGACAUUUGGCCCUGCAUAAUAUGCGAAUGCAAUGCUAGUCCAGGAUUUCAUCAAGAAGGGUUUUCAACACCCUAACAUGCCACGAGCUUUUUUUGAUAGGAAUAAGUAGGUAUGCGAUUCGUAUAUGGCUUGUUUAAUAUUUGCCUUGGAGGGCGAGGAUUUGAUGAAUUGAAAAGGGGGAAAAAAAAAAA
rnacentral:misc_RNA from 1 species